GAGUUGCUUGUUCUAACAGGAGCUCAAGUGGGGAUGGACUGGACUACUAUACUGAAGAAGAGGAAUGAAUUCAGGGUGGCAUUUGCUGAAUUUGAUGCAGAGUCUGUCUCCAAGUUCACAGAGAAGCAGAUGGUUUCCAUCAGUGUGGAACUGAAGCUGGAUUUAGGAAGAGUUAGAGGAAUAUCACUAUCUACUUUGAAACAGAAUUAGUGUUAAUUUUGAUAUUUACUAGCUUCUUAUGUAAUUAAAUACUAAUAUUACUUCAAUGUCAGAAUUCUAUUAUUUUGGU